rnacentral:rRNA from 1 species
UACGGGGGGGGCAAGCGUUGUUCGGAAUUACUGGGCGUAAAGGGCGCGUAGGCGGCCCUCUAAGUCAGACGUGAAAUCCCUCGGCUCAACCGGGGAACUGCGUCUGAUACUGGAGGGCUUGAAUCCGGGAGAGGGAUGUGGAAUUCCAGGUGUAGCGGUGAAAUGCGUAGAUAUCUGGAGGAACACCGGUGGCGAAGGCGGCAUCCUGGACCGGUAUUGACGCUGAGGCGCGAAAGCUAGGGGAGCAAACAGG